GGUAGUGUGAGGGUGUUGAGGUAGUGUGAUGGUGUUGAGGUAGUGUGAGGGUGUUGAGGUAGUGUGAUGGUGUUGAGGUAGUGUGAGGGUGUUGAGGUAGUGUGAUGGUGUUGAGGUAGUGUGAGGGUGUUGAGGUAGUGUGAGGGUGUUGAGGUAGUGUGAUGGUGUUGAGGUAGUGUGGCGGUGUUGAGGUAGUGUGACGGUGUUGAGGUAGUGUGAUGGUGUUGAGGUAGUGUGAGGGUGUUGAGGUAGUGUGAUGGUGUUGAGGUAGUGUGAGGGUGUUGAGGUAGUGUGAGGUUGUUGAGGUAGUGUGAGGGUAUUGAGGUAGUGUGAGGGUGUUGAGGCAGUGUGAGGGUGUUG
ensembl:lncRNA